rnacentral:rRNA from 1 species
UACGGGGGGGGCAAGCGUUGUUCGGAAUUACUGGGCGUAAAGGGCUCGUAGGCGGCCAACUAAGUCAGACGUGAAAUCCCUCGGCUUAACCGGGGAACUGCGUCUGAUACUGGAUGGCUUGAGUUUGGGAGAGGGAUGCGGAAUUCCAGGUGUAGCGGUGAAAUGCGCAGAUAUCUGGAGGAACACCGGUGGCGAAGGCGGCAUCCUGGACCAACACUGACGCUGAGUGAGCGAAAGCCAGGGGAGCAAACGGG